GCGACCCCUGAGCAGUGUUCUCUGUGCUGAGCGGCGGGACUGAGCUGUUGAGUUAGAGCCAACAUGAGUGAGCGACAAGGUGCUGGGGCAACCAAUGGAAAAGACAAGACAUCUGGUGAAAAUGUCGGGUGCCCCAUUCUCUUCCUUACACACUCCUGACUGGCUCAGCGGAAGGAGCUCCUGCCACUCCUCUAACAGCAUCUGACCUUCCCCGCCGCCCCGGGAACUGGACUCUCUGAAGUAUACAGAAAAGUAGCGAUUCCUUAAAUAUGGACAGAAGAAAGUUCAAGAAGAAUUUGACAUUGACAUGGAUGCACCAGAGACAGAACGUGCAGCGGUGGCCAUUCAGUCUCAGUUCAGAAAAUUCCAGAAGAAGAAGGCUGGGUCUCAGUCCUAGUGGGAGAACCCCCUCCUAGUCCACCUGAAAACACCAAAUUCAACCAUCAUCUGUCAAGAAAUUAAAAGAACAACACCCUAGAGAGAAGUCAUCCACACACAAUCCACACACGCAUAGCAAACCUCCAAUGCAUGUACAGAAACCUGUGAUAUUUAUACCCUUGUAGGAAGGUAUAGACAAUGGAAUUGUGAGUAGCUUAAUCUCUAUGUUUCUCUCCAUUUUCAUUCCUCCUGCAACUAUUUUCCUUGAUGUUGUAAUAAAAUGAAGUUACGAUGAGUGAAUUCAA
rnacentral:lncRNA from 1 species